CAACGCGCAGAACCUUACCUGGGCUUGACAUCCCGAUCGCACUUUCUGGAAACAGAGAGGUCAGUUCGGCUGGAUCGGUGACAGGUGCUGCAUGGCUGUCGUCAGCUCGUGUCGUGAGAUGUUGGGUUAAGUCCCGCAACGAGCGCAACCCUCGUCCUUAGUUGCCAGCAUUAAGUUUGGGCACUCUAAGGAGACUGCCGGUGUUAAACCGGAGGAAGGCGGGGAUGACGUCAAGUCCUCAUGGCCCUUAUGUCCAGGGCUACACACGUGCUACAAUGGCCGGUACAAAGGGUAGCAAGACCGCGAGGUGGAGCCAAUCCCAAAAAGCCGGUCUCAGUUCGGAUUGGAGUCUGCAACUCGACCCCAUGAAGUUGGAAUCGCUAGUAAUCGUGGAUCAGCAUGCCACGGUGAAUACGUUCCCGGGCCUU
rnacentral:rRNA from 1 species